UACAGAGGGGGCAAGCGUUAUUCGGAAUUAUUGGGCGUAAAGGGCGCGUAGGCGGCCUUGCAAGUGGAAGGUGAAAUCCCUCGGCUUAACCGAGGAACUGCCCUCCAAACUGCUUGGCUUGAGACCGGGAGAGGUGAGUGGAACUGCGAGUGUAGAGGUGAAAUUCGUAGAUAUUCGCAAGAACACCAGUGGCGAAGGCGGCUGACUGGUCCGGUUCUGACGCUGAGGCGCGAAAGCGUGGGGAGCAAACAGG
rnacentral:rRNA from 1 species